AAUCUGUCUGUUGCACUCUUCUUCGUAGGGGUUCAUCUCCUUGGCAACCAGAGUUAUGGCUGGAACCAGUCAAGCAGUCGACAAACAACGAGCACCUCCUCUACCGCCUGGAGCACAGCCAAUCGGAGCCCUUUGUCUGUGAGUGACAAUGAGACGUCGCACACUGAGAGUCACUCGCCUUUUGACCCUUCCCUCUCGAUGACGCACUUUUACGGAGAAAACGUAAUCUACCUCAGACCAGAUAUGUAGAGUUGGUGUUGGUUGCUGACUUUCUCAGGUAUACCUACAAGAAGAAGAACGAGACAGCGGUGCGAGAGGAGAUGGUGGAACUAGCCAAUCUGCUGGAUGGGUACUAUAAGAGGCUGAAUAUCCGCGUGGUGCUGGUAGGCCUGGAGAUCUUUAAGAACGCCAACCCCUUCAGCGUGGACGGCUCUGCAGGGGAAGUGUUGGGGCUGUUCGUCAAGUGGAGGAAGACGGAUCUGCUACCGCGGAUCAGGCACGAUGACGCACAGCU